rnacentral:rRNA from 1 species
UACGGGGGGGGUAAGCGUUGUUCGGAAUUACUGGGCGUAAAGGGCUCGUAGGCGGCCAACUAAGUCAGACGUGAAAUCCCUCAGCUUAACUGGGGAACUGCGUCUGAUACUGGAUGGCUUGGAUUUGGGAGAGGGAUGCGGAAUUCCAGGUGUAGCGGUGAAAUGCGUAGAUAUCUGGAGGAACACCGGUGGCGAAGGCGGCUUCCUGGACCGACACUGACGCUGAGGCGCGAAAGCUAGGGGAGCAAACGGG